GUGCUUCAGUACCCUGAAUUCAUCUUGUUGAGUAGCUGGGAAGUUUUAUGAAAGAUAUAGCCUGAAUAGCUCAGUAACUCAACUGAAAGACAGAAAGAAAUGUGACUUGGCGAAAACAAAAGAAAGAGCUUCUAGGAUCUGAUGACUCAAAGCAAUACUCUAAGGUGAGCAUCUCAUCAUCCAGCAUUGGGACUGACUGGCUUCGAGACAUACUGGACAUACCAUGCUCUGGUCCCAGCAUCUUAUCCGGUCGUUCGUGGCUUCCUAAGUGAUCACUCCCAGAAGCAUAGUUUUCUAAUGGUAUGUUAUACACCUUAUAUGUACCAAUGUCAAUCUCAUCGAUACUCUGUGACUUUUUGAAUUUAUUAGACUUGAUAUCUUUCAUUAGGGGGGAAAGCCUCUCUGUGCUUUUGCUAAUUGAAAUAACACCUUUAGAAGAUUCCGGGCGGCAGUGGAUUUGAGAAAAGACAUUACUAAGACUCCUGUUGGGAUUGGAAUCAUGAUACUCCCAUGGUACGCCUGGAGAAAAAGGACUAGGUAUUUCAGUAGAUUCCUUUAUAUGUUCUUUCCUUUCAGGCAAUGGGCUGGUAGUGGGGGUUGUCUCUAAUUUGGAAGGAAAAGCGGUCCUGUCUUCAAACGGACUAGGGGUUCUGGUCCAAUUCUGCCAAGGAUUGGAAGGAGGCACUUCUGUUUCUGGUGUGUGUCUGUGUGUAGACUGCUCGAGUUCCAGGGGAACACCAACAAUCCUGUCUUGCCUGAUCAAAGGCCUGCGUCCAUGCGAAGAUGUGCUUCUAGAUUUCGAACUUAAGAGAGGAUUACUGUUGGCAUUCUCGGCUGUGGUUUCCUCAGCAACAAACCCUGUGUUGUCAUAAUGCGAGCCAUCAGUCCAGUUGUCAGUGAAAGUAUCACUCAUGGGCAGCCGGUCAGGACGCUGUGGUAUAUUGCCUGGGGGAACAGCCUCCCGCUGGCUGAGUAAUGGCUUUGAAUCAAGAGGCUGUGGGAAAGAUGGUGCAAUCCUGUGAACACAAUGGGAAGAAGAAAUUGAAAAGGACGAAGAGUUGGGUCUUUGGCAGAAAGAGAACAAGCAGCAAAGAGGGCCAUCAUCCUUUGUUUAACUGAUCAAUAAUCCUCACCUGACUUAUGAUUAAGAUAGUAUUAUUAUUUCAUAUUUUAAAAAUCCAUCCCUUUAUCCUGCUUUAACUUUUUUUUCCUAGUAAUAAUCACCUUCUAAUAUACUAUAUAAUUUACUUAUCUAUUACGUGUAUUGUAUCUUGUGUUGUGUCCUCUGCUAGAAUAUAAACUCACAAUGGUAGAGAUCUUUUUCUCUGCAGGCCUAGACUAAUGCCUGGCACAUAGUAGGUAUUAAAUACACAUUUGUUGAAGGAAUCAAUGAAGGAAAUAUGUAGUUCUUAAGUAAUGGUCUUGAAACCUGACUGAUAAUUAGAAUCAUAUGAUUCCUGAUACCCAUUCCUGGAGAUUCUGAUUUGGUACAUUUCAAACUAUUGGCCGAGAGUACCUUUCUUACAAAUGCUUGGUGUAUCUGAUGAAUCUAAAUUGUCUUCAGAUGACUUUUAUUUGAAGGUCAGGUUUUGAAGACACUAAAUGCUAUUGUAUAGGGAGCAUAUUCAGGUAUGUUUUGUAGAAUGUAAAUUAUAUUAUGACUUUAGAUCACUGACAUGUUUGUACCACUGACCAUGUUAUUUCUAGCAGAUACUGAGAUAAUGCAAAUAAUGAAUUUACAAACUGAAAGAGUUAUGAUUUUUAUUAUGAGCAUCAAUGAUUAGGAAAAGUUACUCAUGAAUUACUAAAGAAGACAUUGCCAACAGUGGCAAUAUUAUCAGUAAAAUAUGAGUAAAAGUUAUUGACUACCUAUAUAACAAUUUUAAUUUGCUAUUUGUAGUGUAAAACAUAGCAACAAGUUACAAAAUGGAAUUAGAACUGGGAAAACAUUGCCUUAUUGAGUCACUUUAUUGUGCUCUGUGUGUGGUUUUUGUUUUUUCAUCUGUAAAAUUAGAGUAAUAUAGAGGAGGAGGCAUUUUGGAAAGAUUAAGUACUUAAAAAUACAUCCUGACUUUUCCAGGUGGUGAUAAAAUUAUGAUGACGAUAGCAAUGAAAAUUUAUUGAACACUUACUCUGGACCAGACACCUAAGUGUUUUACUGGCAUUUUAUUUUAAUUCAUAAUGCCAUUUUGUAUGUUAAAACAUCCAUGUCUCAUCAAUAAGUAUCAGUGGGCAAACACAUUUUUUUUUAUUUUUUAAAUUUUUUGUUCUACCAUCUCAUCCUGUUAACUCCUACCAUGUCUUCCUUAACCAAUGGCCUCUCCCUGUAAGGUGGAUUCAUCUGUUCCUGGCAGUCCCAGGCGAACAACAUUUGCUUACCUGCCCCUUCUGUCUUCUAUGCCACUUGUGUGCCGAAUACAAUUCCAAAAUUAAGAAGAUUCCAUUUUUUAAAAAGUUGCUGAAAAUAAACGUUUGGGAACAAAAGGAGGGAAUUCUAAACACACCUGUUACCCCACAAAGAAUUAUGUACUGCAUCUUUAGCUGUUGUCUGCAAGGACCCCACUUUAACCCGGGUAUUAGAGGAUCCUGAGGAAGCCUGGGAAGGCGAGUAGUCUGAGUAAGUGCCUGAGGAAACACUGUUAUUCAGACAGUGAGUUUUGUCAACUUCAGACUCAUCAGUUGAUUCUGAAAUUUAAAGGGGAAAAUGUUAUAAUGCUAUGACACUGACAAUUACACGGAAAAGCAAGUAUGAAAAAUGGAAACCAUACCGAUUAAGGUUAGAAAUGCAUAUUUGUAAAACAUUUGUAUAGAAUAUGGUGUAUCAUAAUUUACAACUGGCGAUUCAUCAUGCACAUGCAUUUGUAGCAUAUUUUCCACAUUGGGUUCACAGUGUUACCUUUUUUGUCCUUCCCUAGCAGAACAAGUUUGGGUGGGUACAGAGGGGUCUCAGCUAAUGAAGGGUGAAGUUCCCCAAUCCUCAUUUCAUUAGCUGGAUGAACAAAAGAAUCCUGAGAGAUAUAAUAAUACAGGACAAGGAAAGUAAACAUUUAAACAAUGGUUAACCAAAGUGGCAGUAUCUUUAUUUGGCUCAGAUUAAAAAAUGUGACUCUAGAAUUCAGUUCACUGUGAGGCACUGGGAGAAAUAAACCAUAUGUAUCUCUGAGUUAAGCAUUAAAUUUUUUUUUUCUAAUGUAAGUGAGUCCAUUUAUUCAUCAAUUUUUCUUGCAUGUUGUUUAUAUGCCUGGCACUGUGCAAUGAACUGUGGAGGUUCCAAAGAAAGACAAAAUGUGGCUGGUGCCCUCUGGGAGUUUAUAAUCUAGUUGGAGAGAUGAGCUAUAACUCAUUAGAACACCAGACUGAAUUAUGAUAAGCCAUAUAUGAGCAGUAUGAUUCACACAAAUAUGAUAUAUACACAUGUAAUUGUUCUAAGUGGUUAACUCUAAGAGUUUUAAGAGGAAAGUAUAUCACUGACCAAUUAAGAUUUUUUUUUUUUUUUUUUUUUUGUGCAUCCCUAGCUACAUUACUUCACUGUCGGGUCCUAUAAAUCCUGCUCUUCCCACCGCUUUCCUCCUAACUUUCUACUGUAUCCCAAGUGAUCAUCUCCUCAAUUUCUCAAGUUCUAUCAUGUGUUCUUCCAGAGGUUCCUGGUUUUCUCACACCUAAUCUAGCAUACUAAAUCUUCAUUCUAUAUCCCUUCUUUGAGUGUAACGAGCAACAUCGAUACACGACUAUAACUUCAUAAUGACAAAUAAACAUGUAGAAAACCCAAGAUUUUAAACUUCCACAAUUCAAAUUACUAUUUUCAGUUAACCAGGCAGGGUGGAGAGCAUUAGGGGAAGGUAAAAUACCAAAUUCUCACUUUCUUCUAGAUAUAAAAAUGCAUUAUCUAUGCCCAUAAGUAGUGAUAUAUAUUUAUGCAUAGCAGCUAUCGUUAUGUCUUCUUUUCCCUUAAGAUUAAUUUUAAUUCAAAUGAGAAUUUUUCAGCUUUUUAAUUCAUUAGUAUCUUGUGAGUUUGGGGCACUAAUGUAAAAUAUUUAGAAAUAUUUUGUUAAAUCAGAGAAAAAAAUAUACUUGAGGACAAAAAUAUUGUAAAUUUAAAAAGUCCUGUCUUAAAACUAAUCGGUUGGUAUAAUGAACAGGCAGAAACUCUUACUAUAAAUUUUAUAUAUUGCCAAGGACCCCCAUAGUGACAUGCUCAGGUCUUUGGUUAUUGCAGAGAAGCACAUCUUGGUUUAAGUUCUAUCUUUUGGGAUUCUUUUGGGUUAGGUUUGUAUGGAAAUAUUUGCCUGAAAAACCUGGGUAUAUCUGUUACUUGUUAAUUUUUUAAAUAGAAUAUUUCAAUAAAAGAAAAGGGAAAGAUCAUUUAGUCCAACACUUUUGUUUUCUAGAGGCGGGUUCUGAGACUCAGCUUAGGCCUAGGUUACACAGAUGAUUAGACGAAGAUCCAGCACUGCAGCAGGAUUCUCCUGGGCUCCAUUCCAGUGAUCUUUCCUUACCUUGUGCUGCCUCCUGGUGAGCUCAGCUGUGAGCACACAAAGAACUUAAAAUGAGAUAAGGAAAUGGAGGCUCAGUGAGGCACUGUGCUAGACUCAGGCAAUACAAGGAUGGACAAGAAAGAAAGCAUCCCUGCCUUCAUGAAACUCACAGUCUGAAGUCAAUAAACAAACAGCUGUUGCCACUUUACAGAAAGAAAAGUGUGGCUCAGACCAUAAUUUCAGGAAGAAGCAUGCAAUUUUUGGUAAUUCAAUGAAAUAUAAAGAUGAAUCAGAAGUCCGGUAUAGAAUGCAUCAUCCAUUGGUUCUGGAUUUAACAUACAAAAUCCGUAAAAGAACUGAAAUGUUCUGAAGCUUGAAUCUCUCUCAUGCAGUUAUUCUGUUGGAUGAAGUGGCAUUUCAAAUUUGCUCACUCAGAUUUGGGACAUUAGUCUCAUUCUGAAGCACACCAAUGCUUCCAGAACUACCAGCAUGCUGUAAUGAAAGGUACCGCCAUGAGACUUGAAGAAGUAUCUGACUUUGUCCCAAAAUCUAUCUGAAUAAGAAAAACGGACAAACAAAAAGAUAAGGAGAAGAAAGAGGAAACAAAAGCUAAAAGGUUCACCUUAACUUUCCCAGCAUUUUCGUCAUCUUCUUUUUUGUCUUCAAAUUCAAAGGCAACAGUCAUGCGUUGUUGUCUCUGCUCUUCCCACAGUGUAGGGUUAAAGCUGUCACUGUCUGACUGGAAAUCUACAGUUAGAUUCCAAAGUAUUAUUGUUUUUUUAAAAAACAAUUUUACACAAAGUAUUUAAUAUAGUAUGCAAAAAUGGUGAUAGAUACUACAAACAAAUACGGAAAUAAAGAAGAAAGAAAGAAAAAAAGAAAGAGAAAGAAGGAAAGAGAAAAGAAUAAAAUUCCCUUGAUAUUUAUUA
rnacentral:lncRNA from 1 species